rnacentral:rRNA from 1 species
CUUUACUGUAGCCUGGAAUUGGGUCCGGGCUUCGCUUGCGCAGGAUAGGUGGGAGGCACUGAAACACUCCUUGUGGGGAGUGUGGAGCCAACGGUGAGAUACCACUCUGUCAGAGCUAGAAUUCUAACUAAAUGCCGUUAUCCGGCUUUGGAACCGUAUCAGGUGGGCAGUUUGACUGGGGCGGUCGCCUCCUAAAAGGUAACGGAGGCGCGCAAAGGUUCCCUCCGGCUGGUUGGAAAUCAGCCCGUGAAGUGCAAAGGCAUAAGGGAGCUUGACUGCAAGAGCCACACCUCGAGCAGGGACGAAAGUCGGCCUUAGUGAUCCGACGGCGCUGAGUGGAAGGGCCGUCGCUCAACGGAUAAAAGUUA